CGAACCUGUCUGAGAGCGCGGAAUAACCCUGCGAAAGCAGAGCUAAUACCGCAUGUGGUUGUUGGUUGGCAUCUUCUAACAACUAAAGUCGCAAGACGCUCUCAGAUGGGCCCGCGGCCUAUUAGCUAGUUGGUGAGGUAAACGGCCCACCAAGGCAUUGAUGGGUAGCUGGUCUGAGAGGACGGACAGCCACACUGGGACUGAGACACGGCCCAG
rnacentral:rRNA from 1 species